rnacentral:rRNA from 1 species
UGUGAAACCAACCUGAAGAUGAGAUUGCGCAUUUCUCUAAAAAAGUAAGAUCACUGAAAGAUGACAAGGUAAAUAGGUCAGGAGUGGAAGUACAAUGAUGUAUGGAGCGGACUGAUACUAAUCGAUCGAGGACUUAACCAAU